rnacentral:rRNA from 1 species
CCUUCGGGUUGUAAAGCCCUUUUCUGGGGGAAGAGGAAGGACGGUACCCCAGGAAUAAGUCCCGGCUAACUACGUGCCAGCAGCCGCGGUAAAACGUAGGGGACAAGUGUUAUCCGGAUUCAUUGGGCGUAAAGCGCGUGCAGGUGGUGCUUUAAGUUGGGCGUGAAAUCUCCUGGCUUAACUGGGAGGGGUCGUUCAAUACUGAAGCACUUGAGGGCAGGAGAGGGAGGUGGAAUUCCCGGUGUAGUGGUGAAAUGCGUAGAUAUCGGGAGGAACACCAGUGGCGAAGGCGGCCUCCUGGUCUGCUCCUGACACUAAGACGCGAAAGCUAGGGUAGCAAACGGGAUUAGAUACCCCGGUAGUCCUAGCUGUAAACGAUGGAUACUAGGUGUGGGUGGCAUUGACCCCAUCCGUGCCGGAGCUAACGCGAUAAGUAUCCCGCCUGGGGACUACGGCCGCAAGGUUAAAACUCAAAGGAAUUGACGGGGGCCCGCACAAGCAGCGGAGCGUGUGGUUUAAUUCGAUGCUACACGAAGAACCUUACCAGGGCUU